GUGGCUGCAUCAUGUUAUGUUAUGGGUAUGCUUGUAAUCAGGCUGUUUUUCAGGAUAAAAAAGAAACAGAAUGGAGCUAAGCACAGGCAAAAUCCUAGAGGAAAACCUGGUUGUCUGCUUUCCACCAGACGAUGAAUUCACCUUUCAGCAGGACAAUAACUUAAAACACAAGGCAAAAUCUACACUGAAGUUGCUUAUCAAGAAGACAGUGGAUAUUCCUGAGUGGCCGAGGUAGAUUUAAGUCAAAACUAUGGCAAGGCCUGAAAAUGGUUGUAUAGCAAUGAUCAACCACUCCAGACCACCUUUACUCCACACACAGAGACGCAUACAAAGCUCUCCCUUGCCCUCCAUUCGGCAAAUCUGACCAUAAUUCUAUCCUCCUGAUUCCUGCUUACAAGCAAAAACUAAAGCAGGAACUACCAGUGACUCGCUCAAUACAAAACUGGUCAGAUACCGCAGAUGCUACGCUACAGGACUGUUUUUCUAGCACAAACUGGAAUAUGUUCCGUGAUUCAACCAAUGGCAUUCAGGAGUAUACCAUCUCAGUCAACCGGCUUUAUCAAAAAGUGCAUCGAGGAUGUUGUCCCCACAGUGUGUGUACGUACAUAUCCCAACAUGACACCAUGGAUUACAGGCAACAUCCGCAUCAAGCAAAAGGUGAGAGCUGCCACCUUCAAGGAGCGGGACACUAAUCCGGACGCUUAUAAGAAAUUCCUCUAAGCCCCCAGACGAACCAUCAAACAGACAAAGUGUCAAUACAGGACUAAGAUUGAAUCCUACUACACUGGCUCUGACGCUCGUCGGAUGUGGCAGGGCUUGCAAACUAUUACGGACUACAAAGGGAAACCCAGCCUACCAGAUGAGCUAAAUACCUUAUAUGCUCGCUUCGAGGCAAGCGACACUGAAGCAUGCAUGAGAACACCAGCUGUUCUGGACGACUGUGAUCACGCUCUCCGUAGCCGAUGUGAGCAAGUCCUUUUAAACAGGUCAACAUUCACAAAGCCACAGGGCCAGAUGGAUUACCAGGACGUGUACUCAAAGCAUGUGCGGACCAACUGGCAAAUGUCUUCAUUGACAUUUUCAACCACUCCCUGACCGAGUCUGUAAUACCUACAUGUAAUACCAUAGUCCCUGUGCCCAAGAAAGCGAAGGUAACCUGCCUGUAGCACUCACGUCAGUAGCCAUGAAGUGCUUUGAAAGGCUGGUCAUGAAUCACAUCAACACCAACACCAUCAUCCUGGAAACCCUAGACCCACUCCAAUUCGCAUACAUCCACAGAUGACGCAAUCUCAAUCGCACUCCCCACUUUGACUACAGCUCAGUAUUCAAUACCAUAGUACCCAAAAAGCUCAUCACUAAGCUAAGGAACCUGGGACUAAACACCUCCCUCUGCAAUUGGAUGCUGGAUUUCCUGACGGGUCACCCCCAGGUGUUAAGGGUUGGCAACAACACAACACAACACAUCUGGAAUCAACACCAAUCCAGAUAUGUCACAGACAUGCAUCAUCAGAGUGCGCAACAGGACAUUGUACUGUCUACACUCGGUUUGUUUAUAUUAAAACAUUUUCAUUAAAUCGAUUUUAAUCCGAACUAAAGUUUUGUUGCUAAGGAUUCCACAACGCGGUUAGCCUUUACCGCUGGGACUGCUUUGUGUUCCUUCUUUUGCGUGGAUUCUGUGAGUGCUAGCUGGUUGUUCUACAGACACAUGUCGUCGUCGUGGGAAAGACUCAUUGUUAUCUUUUCGUAAAACAACUGGUUGAAGUAAAGAGCCAAUCUGGAUACUAAGGAGAUCAUGAGGGAAAUCGACGAGUACCAACAGCUUUACGCUAUGGAGGAACAACAUACUCCAUCAUGGAAAGAUCCGACUACCUCACAAAAUAACUUUUAACCCGACAAAAAAAAGAAACAUUAAUCUACAGACAUGGACGAUUUACUUACCAUUGAGGUAGUGGCUAGUGCUCUGGCUGGAAUCCAUGCAACACUGGAAAAGUUGUGUGAGGAGGUAGCAGGGCUGAGGGGGAGUUUGGAGUUCAGCCAGAGUGAAAUUCUCACGCUCCAAAGAGGAAACAAGACACUCACAGCCAAGGUAAAAAUCCACGAUUCCAACAUGGAUUGUCUACUCAGGGAAAACAGGGUGAUGAAGGAGUCGCUACUAGACAUACAAAGUCGUAGCAUGCGUGAAAAUCUAUUUUUCCUGGGAUUCCUGACGACACAUCCAAUAAUCCGGAGGGUGCGAUCAGAGAAUUCAUGCAAUCCGCCUUGAAACUUCCUCUAGAGACUGUAAACAAGGUGGCUUUCCACCGAGUACACAGACUUGGGGCGACAAGACCAAGGGUCCCCGACCGAUCAUCACAAAAUCUGAACACUACCAACAAAAGGAGCUGAUCAAAAGCAGGGGAAGGGAGCUGAAAGGGACCAAAUUCGGUCUCAAUGACCAGUUUCCAAGGGAGAUAAACGGCCGUUGUAAGAGACUAUCCAGUACAAAGACAACAAAGGAAGGAUGACUGUGAGGAUUGCAAGUCUUUCUUCAUGGAGGAGUGUGAGCUCCAUGGUCCUGCCUUCUUCGUCCCUGACAUCCCUGCCCCCUUAGGAGCCCCUGAUAGGGCCAGACUCACCCUGCC
rnacentral:lncRNA from 1 species